AGCCGAUGCUGAUUCCUCAGGUACCGUCACUGACUUCUUCCCUGAGAAAAGAGGUUUACAAUCCAAAGACCUUCUUCCCUCACGCGGCGUUGCUCCGUCAGGCUUUCACCCAUUGCGGAAAAUUCCCCACUGCUGCCUCCCGUAGGAAGCCGAAUUCUGCAGAUAUCCAUCACACUGGCGGCCGCUCGAGCAUGCAUCUAGAGGGCCCAAUUCGCCCUAUAGUGAGUCGUAUUACAAUUCACUGGCCGUCGUUUUUACAACGUCA
rnacentral:rRNA from 1 species